rnacentral:rRNA from 1 species
UACGUAGGGUGCGAGCGUUGUCCGGAAUUAUUGGGCGUAAAGAGCUCGUAGGCGGUUUGUUGCGUCGGCCGUGAAAACCUGCAGCUUAACUGUGGGCCUGCGGCCGAUACGGGCAGACUUGAGUUCGGUAGGGGAGACUGGAAUUCCUGGUGUAGCGGUGAAAUGCGCAGAUAUCAGGAGGAACACCGGUGGCGAAGGCGGGUCUCUGGGCCGAUACUGACGCUGAGGAGCGAAAGCAUGGGUAGCGAACAGG